rnacentral:lncRNA from 1 species
ACCCUUCCCAGUAGUGUGUGGCAUCACUAGUGCUGGGUAUAGGACUAAAGUGAGUAUUAGGUUGAAUAUUGUUGUAGAGUAUUUGUGUGUCCUAUACCUCUUAAUGCAUAAAUUCCUAAAUUUAAACAUGUCUUUAGAGUCCAGUUGGCCUGUCAAUGGUGAAUUUCCUUUUGAUUUUUUCUUGGGCAGGUUUGCAAUGUGAUAAUCAGAUUUUUUUUUAACUGAUUAUAGAUUGUUUCCUUGUGUGGGUGUACUCACAUUUAAAAGUAUGAACCACGGUUAACUAGUGGUCUCAGGGGUAGUGAAACACUCACUUUUUAUUUACUGGGUUAGUUGAAGUAUUCUUAAGACACUGAUCAUGCUGUGUUCGUGAUUUGGGGGGUGGGUAAUACUAAAAUUAGUCAUGUUUUGUGUUCACAUAACAAAACUGUUCAAUGACUGUUGGUUACACUUUUAAGUGAAUUUGUCUCCUAUUUUAUGAGGAACCCAAUGCAAGUCACUAAAUGUCUUAAUAGUGACAUCUGCAUAAGACUUGUAAUAGCUAAAGUUAAUUGAGCUUAAAGGAAUUGUUACCAUUAAAGUCUGUGUUUAAAC